AUUCAUAAUGAGGAAAAUCUGGAAGAUGUUUAUAUAUGAUAAAAUGUUAUGUAUUUCAGUAGAAUUCAUACGAACACACAGCAUGGUAUAGUCUAACACUAAACCAAGGGCAGGGAGAUCCAGGUUGUGGUACCUACAAUGAAACCACAGACAAAUGCAAGAGAAUGGCAGGGGCAGCAACUUCCAUUGAAAUUGUAGACAAGUUGUCAUUCUGGAUACUCUCCCUAAACCACAAGACAGGUCCUACUGGGGAACGAGCAGAUACGUGGCAGCCCAGGGUUAAGGUCUCUCCACUUCUGACUGAAACUGGAUUCUCAGGGUGCUGCUUCUGGGGGAGAAGCCGUGCGACUUGCAGGUGAAGCUCAUUGUCUGCCAGACACCAUGCGGGGAGAGAGUUUGGCUACAAGAGGAGCAUCAAUGAACAGUAAGCAUGACUGUGGUCAUCAGCACUAACCAUACGUGUGUGACACUGUGGAGAAG
rnacentral:lncRNA from 1 species